AGCAGCAGCCACGGUAAUACGGAGGGGGCUAGCGUUGUUCGGAAUUACUGGGCGUAAAGCGUACGUAGGCGGUUUUGUAAGUUAGAGGUGAAAGCCCGGAGCUCAACUCCGGAAUUGCCUUUAAGACUGCAUCACUUGAACGUCGGAGAGGUGAGUGGAAUUCCGAGUGUAGAGGUGAAAUUCGUAGAUAUUCGGAAGAACACCAGUGGCGAAGGCGGCUCACUGGACGACUGUUGACGCUGAGGUACGAAAGCGUGGGGAGCAAACAGGAUUAGAUACCCCCGUAGUCCCUGUCUCUUAUAC
rnacentral:rRNA from 1 species